rnacentral:rRNA from 1 species
UACGUAGGGUGCAAGCGUUGUCCGGAAUUAUUGGCGUAAAGAGCUCGUAGGCGGCUUGUCGCGUCGGCUGUGAAAACCCGGGGCUCAACCCCCGGGCCUGCAGUCGAUACGGGCAGGCUAGAGUCCGGUAGGGGAGACGUGGAAUUCCUGGUGUAGCGGUGAAAAUGCGCAGAUAUCAGGAGGAACACCGGUGGCGAAGGCGGGUCCUCUGGGCCGGAAACUGACGCUAAGGAGCGAAAAGCGUGGGGGAGCGAACAGG